rfam:Bombyx mori DNA, contig: Bm_scaf1_contig1465, strain: p50T/Dazao, build 2, whole genome shotgun sequence.
UUAACUCAAAUUUGUAGGGUGUUUGAACGUUUGCCUACGUUUUCCGCUAGGGGCGCUGUUCCAACUGCAUACAAAUUUGAGUUA